rnacentral:misc_RNA from 1 species
GCAAACUGGCAUUUAGAGGAAGUAAAAGUCGUAACAAGGUUUCCGUAGGUGAACCUGCGGAAGGAUCAUUCAUAAUAAAAGUGAAUUUUAUGGCACUUUUAAAACAAUCCAUAUCCACCUUGUGUGCAACGUUUUUUUUUUAUAAUAAACUCAUUUUUUUAACAUAUUUUGUCUGAAAUAUUUUUUAUGAAUUACUUAAUUCUAAAAUAUAACUUUCAACAACGGAUCUCUUGGCUCUCGCAUCGAUGAAGAACGCAGC